rnacentral:lncRNA from 1 species
AUUAAAGAUCUGAGGGUGACAGUUGGAUUGGGACAUGCAAACUGUUUGAAGGUUAUUGAAGCUUAUAUUGCCACUACGUAUCUUAUGUCUCAGUUCCAGAGGCUGAAAGUCCAAGAUCAAGGUACUGCCAGAUACAGUGUCUGCCAUCUUCAGUACAUCAUAUGGUCACACUCUGCUUGGAGAAACAGAAACAAGAUGAACAAGGAGAUGAACAGCAAAAACAGUUCUUCCAUGAACCUGACAUCAUAACCUACAAGUUUCACAAUGAAACAAGAACAGCUUAAAACUGAUGGUGACUGAGUGGUGCUAAUGCCAAAUUUUUGGUCAAUAUCUCAUAUUCAAGAGGAUAAUCAGAGGAGAGAAUUGUUAAAUUAACUAAACAAGGAAACCAUUAAACUGAGUGACUGCAAUGCCUUAGUGGUCCAUGUAAGCAAACCAAAAUCUAAGCCUGUAAAUGCAUCAGUGUUACAAAAUCAAAACCUAAGGACAACUAAUCACAAAAAACCAACUAAGCUUUACACUACAGCCAAUAAAAUAAUUUCUUUGUUUGCACUCCUUCUCUAUAUAAGUUAUUCCCCUAGCUUAUGUUGGUAGAAUGCUUCUAACCACUUUUGAUUUUCUGCUGCCCAAAUCGAAUUAAUUUUUGCUCAGAUAAACAUACCUCAGUUUAUCUGUAAUAGCCAAAAACUGGAAUCAGCCCAGAUGUCUCUCAUAGCAGAGUGAUUAAACAACUCUGGUACCUCCCUUCCAGAGAAUACUACUCAGUAAUAAAA